AAGGUCCCAAAUUACUACUAAGUGGGAAACGAUGUGGGAAGGCUCAGACAGCCAGGAUGUUGGCUUAGAAGCAGCCAUCAUUUAAAGAAAGCGUAAUAGCUCACUGGUCGAGUCGGCCUGCGCGGAAGAUGUAACGGGGCUAAGUAGUAAACCGAAGCUGCGGCAAUGUGCUUUUGCACAUUGGGUAGGGGAGCGUUCUGUAAGCGGUUGAAGGUGUGUGGUAACGCAUGCUGGACGUAUCAGAAGUGCGAAUGCUGACAUGAGUAACGAUAAAGGGGGUGAAAAACCUCCUCGCCGGAAGACCAAGGGUUCCUGUCCAACGUUAAUCGGGGCAGGGUAAGUCGACCCCUAAGGCGAGGCCGAAAGGCGUAGUCGAUGGGAAACGGGUUAAUAUUCCCGUACUUCUUACAAUUGCGAUGGGGGGACGGAGAAGGCUAGGUGGGCCUGGCGACGGUUGUCCAGGUUCAAGUGCGUAGGCUUAAGAGUUAGGUAAAUCCGGCUCUUUUUAAGGCUGAGACACGACGUCGAGCACCUACGGGUGUGAAGUCAUUGAUGCCAUGCUUCCAGGAAAAGCCUCUAAGCUUCAGAUUGUAAGGAAUCGUACCCCAAACCGACACAGGUGGUCGGGUAGAGAAUACCAAGGCGCUUGAGAGAACUC
rnacentral:rRNA from 1 species